rnacentral:tRNA from 1 species
GAGAACAUAACUCAGUGGUAGAGUAGCUGACUUUUAAUCAGUUUGUCGUAGGUUCGAUCCCUACUGUUCUCC